AUGGACUUCUGUGGCAUAAAGGUAGUUCAUACUACCACUGUGCCAUGAGAAGCAUGUCAGAUGCUUUGAAUUGCCCAGCAACUGAAGAACUGCCCCAUUAUAGCCAAAGAACCCUUUUUUUUUUGUUUUGUACAUGUGAUCCACCUCUCAGAAAACUCUUGCCCUUUUGUAGUUCCAAUAUUUGGAAUUAAACUAUCAAUAACUCAGCAUCUCGAGGCACGAAGAGAAAAGACAGUUUAGGGGUUAAGAAAACUGUCUAUGUGGGGUCAGAAACAGCAGGAGGAAGCCCAUCUGAGGAGCAGAGCUCUGGGGAUGGUUUUGCCUUGCACUGUGUGCGCAAGCAUUUAAUCCACUCUGUUGACACAAACUGCCGCUUGGGAGAUCAUUCACUGAUUAGCAGUUACGUGAGUUUGUAUACCCAAGCUGAAAUUUUUCAGAAGUGCUUAAUGGCUAUGCACUACUUAAUAUUUAACACAUGUUCUUCCUCCCCUUGCAGGUUAGUUGCAUUUGGGCUGAUGGGACAAGCUGCCUGCUCCCAGUCUAAUGCCUGGCUGCACAGUGGACAAGCGUCAUGAAGGCCAGCAGCAUGGAGACAGGUUGCAUCUACCUGCUGUUCUCACUGAAGAAGGAAGCUUGCACUAUCCUCUGGACAAUGUGUACACUGAGGCAAUGCUGACACCCUCAGCUAGGUCCUUGGUUGGCUCUGGGACAGCAAACCUUCCUGAAGAAUCUAGAAGCCACAAGUAGCACUGGGGAUUCAGUAACAGGUAUUCCUAGUCUGCCAUGAGCUUACUCUUUGGAUGAGUACUGAUUUGUGCAUCCCAGAUCAGCUUUAGAGAGAGACAACUUUUUCCUGAAGUUAUAACUCUGAUAGCUGACAAUCAUCCAGGUUUCCCUAUUGUUUUCUGGGAAAAGAGCCUCAGUGUCCCCAUCAAGGUACAAGUGAGGUGUUAACCUCAUAGAAUCCUGAAGAUUGUCACAAAAGCAUCAGUGUUUUUAGGAACCCCCCUCAAAUCGUUGUCUGAUUAUUCAUGCAUGGGAAACGGGAUAUAACUCACAUGACCACUACAGCAAACACAAACCAAUGCAUAAAUCAUUCUGUAGCUAAGACAGAAGACUAACACAAAGUGUUUUAUCAGAUGACAUAGUUGUUCUGGGCUUACAGAUGGUGCUCAAAUGCUAUUAAGAUUCCAAGAAACCCAAAGAGAAAAUCUGAUGAAGAUGAAGCUUUGAUGAUCAGCAGAAAACAAAAUCUUGUAGGGGGCUUUAUACUAGGUCAUCAAUUUCCAAGGGGGAGUCAUGAAGACUGAUUCUCCAGAGACAGAAAUACAGAGCUGGAGACCUCAUUUGGGGAUUUUUCAUUUUCCUAUCUGUAAAUAUAAUGGAGUAGAGAGCUGCAAUGCCAAUUAAUUUAAAGUUAGGAAGGAAAUUGCCAUUCAUGUGUAGCAGAACUAGAGAAAACUCAUCCAGGGACUAGUACCAGGAAGCCAGAGAAUGGACUUGUAGCUCUCUUCAGUGAAGUUGCCUAUGUUUUUCUAUCUUUCAAAAUAUCCAAAAAUCAUAAAAACAGCUGACACCUAAAUUUUCCUUUUUCAGGGUAUAUGACAUAUGGAAGGGAUAUGUUUGCGUAUACAAUCCAUGGAUAACCCAAAGCCCAAAAGGUACUGAAACAUUCCUUAGAGGGGUUUUGGCUGGAAGCCGAUAUGGCAUUUUUAUGGUAGGUUUUAUCUCCUGAGACUUUAAAAAACUUGCUGCAUUCCCUCAAGAGUAACUCCUUCCCUAGAAGCUGUGGCAAGGUCUCUGGAAUAAACCACACCAAAGAAACA
rnacentral:lncRNA from 1 species